GCCACGAGAGUACACCGAACGAAGGAGACA
rnacentral:piRNA from 1 species